rnacentral:rRNA from 1 species
CGGUUGAUCCUGCCGGACCCGACCGCUAUCGGGGUGGGACUAAGCCAUGGGAGUCGUGCGCCCCGGGGUAUGGCGGGGCGCGGCGGACGGCUCAGUAACACGUGGCUAACCUACCCUCGGGACGGGGAUAACCCCUGGGAAACUGGGGCUAAUCCCCGAUAGGGGAGGUGGCCUGGAAUGGUCCCUCCCCGAAAGGGGCACAGCGCCAUCCCCGCUGUGCCCGCCCGAGGAUGGGGCUGCGGCCCAUCAGGUAGUUGGCGGGGUAACGGCCCGCCAAGCCGAUAACGGGUGGGGGCCGUGAGAGCGGGAGCCCCGAGAUGGGCACUGAGACAAGGGCCCAGGCCCUAUGGGGCGCACCAGGCGCGAAACCUCCGCAAUGCGGGAAACCGUGACGGGGUCACCCCGAGUGCCUCCCGAUAAGGGAGGCUUUUCCCCGCUGUAAACAGGCGGGGGAAUAGGCGGGGGGCAAGUCUGGUGUCAGCCGCCGCGGUAAUACCAGCCCCGCGAGUGGUCGGGACGAUUAUUGGGCCUAAAGCGCCCGUAGCCGGCCCGGCAAGUCUCCGCGUAAAGCCACGGGCUCAACCCGGGGAACUGCGGAGAUACUACCGGGCUAGGGGGCGGGAGAGGCCGAGGGUACUCCCGGGGUAGGGGCGAAAU